rnacentral:rRNA from 1 species
AUGUCCCUGUUUGAGGAGUUCUUUGUUGGGUCCAUCGACCUCAAUAGGCUGAACUUUGUGAUAAUCACCCUCAUCCCCAAAGUGACCGGGGCUUCGGAUAUCCGCCAAUUUUGGCCGAUUACCGUGAUUAAUGUCAUCCUCCGCAUCCUCGCGAAGGGGUACGCCAUUAGGGUGGCCCCCAUUGCCGACCGGAUCACUCACCCUGAUCAGUCGGCAUUUAUCCAGGGCCGAUAUAUCCUUGACGGAGUCCUGGUUUUUCACGAAGCACUCCAUGAGGUUCACACCAAACACCUCAAGGCAGUCUUCCUGAAACUGGAUUUCCACAAGGCAUAUGACACGGUCAGUUGGCCCUUCCUUCGGGAAUGCUUGCUCGCGGGCCACAUUAAGGGCAUAGUCCCGCAUCUUGCUGAGGGGAACGGGAUCUCCCUUCUCCAAUAUGCGGAUGACACCAUUAUCAUGGUGGAAGGCUCGGCGAGCGACAUCAUGAACUUGAAGUUCCUCCUGCUUUGCUUCCAGCAGAUGUCUGGCCUCAGGAUCAACUUCGACAAGAGUGCGGUGAUGGUCUUGGGAUACUCCCAAGACGAACUGCACAACAUCGCGGAUCGGCUUAAUUGCCAGCUUGGGUGUUUCCCCACGACUUAUCUGGGGAUCCCCAUUAGUGAUCCGAGGCUCACGGUGGCAGAGCUGCGACCCACGGUGGAGAAGCUACAACACCACAUCGAGCCCUGGCAGGGCCGGUGGCUCUCGAAGGUGGCCCGGACGAUGCUCAUUAACUCGUCCCUCGCCAGCCUGCUCUUAUUCAUCAUGAGCUUCUACAGCCUUUCUGAGACUCUACAUCAUGAGAUUGCCACAGUUCAGGGGCGCUUCUUCUGGGCCGGCGAGGGCGAUAAGCAGAAAUACCACAUGGUUCGGUGGUCGGAGAUCUGUAUACCGCGCGACCAGGGUGGUCUCGGGAUCAUGUCCUCCAAACGCAUGAACAUAGCCCUCCUGACGCGGUGGCUAUGGCGGAUUGCCAACGGAGAGGGUGGCUUGUGGCUUCGCCUCAUUCAGCAGAAAUACCUCCGUGGCCAGCCUCUCGCCUUCUGCCAGCAGUCUGGGGGGCUCCCAGUUCUGGCAAUCCAUCAUUCAGCUCCUUCCUGUCCUCCGCAUCGGAACCUCGAUCGCGGUUGGAUCUGGCACCGCCACGAGGUUCUGGUUCGGUAG